GGUAAAAUGGCUGAAUUUUAGGCGAUAGAUUGUAAAUUUAUUUAUGGGAAUUUUCUCUUUUACUA
rnacentral:tRNA from 1 species